rnacentral:tRNA from 1 species
AGUGAGAUGGCCGAGUGGCUUAAGGCACUCCCCUGCUAAGGGAGUAUGCAGAUACAUACUGCAUCGAGGGUUCGAAUCCCUCUCUCACUG